rnacentral:rRNA from 1 species
UACAGAGGGGGCAAGCGUUGUUCGGAAUUACUGGGCGUAAAGGGCGCGUAGGCGGCCAACUAAGUCAGACGUGAAAUCCCCAGGCUCAACCUGGGAACUGCGUCUGAUACUGGAUGGCUCGAGUUCGGGAGAGGGAAGUGGAAUUCCAGGUGUAGCGGUGAAAUGCGUAGAUAUCUGGAGGAACACCGGUGGCGAAGGCGGCUUCCUGGACCGACACUGACGCUGAGGCGCGAAAGCCAGGGGAGCGAAACGGG